GGCACGAUAGCCGACAACCACAUUCUCACCAAAGAGACGGCACGAUGGCCAACAACCACAAUCUCACCAAAGAGAUGGCACGAUGGUCGACAAAUACAUCCACACCAAAGAAUUUUCACAAGCAAAUAGACAUCCUAGUUUUCUAAUUUAUGAAAAAAAUCCUACCACCUCUCUACAUUAAAUACCACACCUCUAUUCUUUUCAGCAUUUUCUAAUUUCUAAUUUCAUUCUUCUCUAAUUUUUAUUUUCUAAUUUUCUAAUUUCAUGCCUCUAAUUUCUAAAAUAAAUCCUACCACAUCCUACCACCUCUCUAGUCUUUUCAACAUUUUCUAAUUUCUAAUUUCAUACCUACUCUAAUUUAU
rnacentral:lncRNA from 1 species